GACUAAUGUUGAAAAAUUAGCGGAUGACUUGUGGCUGGGGGUGAAAGGCCAAUCAAACCGGGAGAUAGCUGGUUCUCCCCGAAAGCUAUUUAGGUAGCGCCUCGUGAAUUCAUCUCCGGGGGUAGAGCACUGUUUCGGCAAGGGGGUCAUCCCGACUUACCAACCCGAUGCAAACUGCGAAUACCGGAGAAUGUUAUCACGGGAGACACACGGCGGGUGCUAACGUCCGUCGUGAAGAGGGAAACAACCCAGACCGCCAGCUAAGGUCCCAAAGUCAUGGUUAAGUGGGAAACGAUGUGGGAAGGCCCAGACAGCCAGGAUGUUGGCUUAGAAGCAGCCAUCAUUUAAAGAAAGCGUAAUAGCUCACUGGUCGAGUCGGCCUGCGCGGAAGAUGUAACGGGGCUAAACCAUG
rnacentral:rRNA from 1 species